UCACUUCAAAGUCCUCGGCAUCGAUUGGGUACCUAGGAGAGACGAGCGGGUCCAAAAGCAGCCGACCCCCGCCUCCCGUUUCUCAAGGUGGCGCUCCGCCCCUGAUGGCGUCACGCGGGAGCUGGCGGCUCUCGCUUCCCCGCCUUUGCCGCGGUUCCCUCGUGCGCCCGGCCCUCAUAAGAUGGCGGUCGGGUCGCCUCUCCGCAGCGACGCCGCCACUCUCAACAUGGUAGCUGUUUACCCCAUAUUUCUCCUCCCCUCUCCGCCUCAACUUCCUCGUUGUUUUGAAUAAACUUUAUUGACUACUCCGAAUUGCCCACCACCGCCACCGGGCUUCUCCCGGCGACUUUCCGGGCCGUUUUUCUCCGCCCUGGCUUGCCGGUUCAUCUCAUUCCUUGUUGGUUUGCUCGCGGCGAUCUCCUGCCGGCCUAGCGACAACGCCGCUCGCCCGGUCGCCGGGCGGCCGCCGGAGUAGGCCUGAGCCGCGGUCUCCAGUAGGCCCGAACGGCUGGGCCCGGGGCAGAGCUGUGGAGAAAGCUGGCCUGAAGCACCACCGGGCGGCCCGGGCCGCGCGCCCCAGCGGGCGGUACGAGGGGAAGGCGAGCAAGCCAUCGUCCAGAAAGGACGCGUGCUGCCACCUCCUGCUCUUCUUGACGUUAAGAACCCGGCCCGCCGCAGAACGCUCCAAGGCUCGGCGAAGAUGGCCUCGGUGCCGGUGUAUUGCCUCUGCCGGCUGCCUUACGAUGUGACCCGCUUCAUGAUCGAGUGUGACAUGUGCCAGGACUGGUUUCACGGCAGGUAAGAAGGGCAGGCCAGGCUGGACAGGGUGCAGUGGCCAGGUGCUCACUUGUGCGCUCCUUUCUCAGCUCUGUUUUUAGGUUCUCGCUCAGAAACUUUUUUCCCCUCUCUUGUAGAGAAUUAGCCCCAGCCCACCUCCCAGACCCAGGUUCUUACGUCCUUCCUUGCAGACUAGGGCUUAACUGACAUUGUUCUCGGAUUUCUCCCUUUCUUCCAUAUGUAUUUUUUCUUUGCACCCUUCUUUUGUAUUUUUUGUUUAGAAAAUAUUUUCUUUUCAGCCACAAAGAAAGUAUCAUCUUUGUAUUCUGGCAGUGUUGUUUUGCCUCAGACACUGGCUUUGGAGGAGACAGUACUGUGUUUUUGAGAUAUUUGAGUCCAACAAAGGAAGAUUUGAGUUGUGGUUUUGCAACUUGCUAUCAGAGUAACCUUGGAUGAGUUACUUUGCCUCUCUGAGCCUCAUUGUCUUCACCUAUAAAAUAUAUCUAAUACACCCUUCCUGAUUAUUUAAAGCAUUUUGCAUGCACUCAAUAAAUGGAGGCAGCAAUGCA
rnacentral:lncRNA from 1 species